UACGUAGGGGGCAAGCGUUGUCCGGAAUCAUUGGGCGUAAAGCGCGUGUAGGCGGCUCAGUAAGUCUGUUCUGAAAGUCCAAGGCUCAACCUUGGGAUGCGGAUGGAUACUGCUGAGCUCGAGUCCGGAAGAGGCGAGUGGAAUUCCUGGUGUAGCGGUGAAAUGCGCAGAUAUCAGGAGGAACACCAAUGGCGAAGGCAGCUCGCUGGGACGUGACUGACGCUGAGACGCGAAAGCGUGGGGAGCAAACAGG
rnacentral:rRNA from 1 species